rnacentral:rRNA from 1 species
GCCAAAGGAAAAGAGCGGACGAAAAAUUUGGAGUGCGGGAGGAGGGAAGCCGGCGCGGCGCAGGAGGUGGAGUGAAAUGCGAGAAAGGGGAGGGGCGUGAGGCGACACUGCUUGCAUUUGUUGUGCCCACGGACUUUGGCAGCCAUUCAAUGCUCCACCAAACGCUCAUCCCUUCUUGCCUUGCCUUCUCCGCCUCCGCUUCCCCCGACCCUCUCCCCUUCGCCUCAAACGCCACCGCCGCCGCCCCCGCCGCCGCGACCCACCUUCGCUCCUCAGCCAUGCCGUCCUACGCGCACCACCACAGCUCUCUGGUAAGGAGGGAGGGAGAUUACCGGGGCGAAAGAGAUAGAGAGAAAGAGAGAAUCUUUUGUUGAUUUUUAUUAUAAGUUUUCUUCGGACAAGACGGAAGAAAACGAGCGCUCUUUCUCUUUCUCUCGACUUGUGGUUCUUGGUUCCUGGAAUUGGGAAUUUAUGAUUUUCCUGUGUGUAUGUGUGCGCCUUCUUUUGGGCCGUGAAGAACGAGAGGAUGGACGCCCUAAAGGGCAGUAGCCGCCAGGAGGAGACGCCCGACGAGGCCGCCGCCGAGGCGCCGGCGGCCUGGGGCUUCGCCGAGAGGGACGGCUUCUCCGUCGAGGACCUGCUGGACCUCGAGGAGUUUUGCGAGCCGGAUAAGGACGGCGCCGACGAGCCCCAGGAGGCGCCGGCCGCCGACGUGAAGGAGGAGAAGUUGAACGACGGGCCCCAGCAGCCCGUCGUGUCGUAUGAGCUCGCCCCUCCGGCGCCGCCCGCGCCGGAGAUUGUUGACCUGCCGGCGCAUGACGUCGAGGAGGAGCUCGAGUGGGUGUCCCGUAUCAUGGACGACUCGCUCUCCGAGCUGCCCCCGCAGCCGGCGCCGCCCGCGUCGAUGAUGGCGUCGUUGGCGGCACGCCCGCCGCAGCGCCGGCUGCCGCUGCCGCAGCGGCACCCACAGGACGGAGCGUACCGUGCUCUGCCGUCCAUGUCCGACCCUAUGCGGACUCCGACCAUAUGCGCGCUGUCGACGGAGGCGCUUGUUCCCAUCAAGGCGAAGCGCAGCAAGCGCUCUAGGGCGUCGGGGUGGUCGCUCUCUGGGCCCACGCCGGACUCCACUUCGUCCUCGUCGACCACCACCACCUCCUCGUGCUCCUCGUCGGCGUCCUUCUCGCCCUACUUCCUGAUGGACUCGACCCACUUCGGCGCCUCGGAGCUCAUGGAGGAGUACAACAUCCUCCCGCCGCCGCCCAAGAAGUCCAAGCACGGUAAGAGCAGCAAGCAAAAGGCCAAGAAGCGUGGCCGCAAGCCCAAGAACCUCCCUGCCCACCCGUCCAGCGCCAUGGAGGCCGCCACCCAGAGCGACCGGCGCUGCAGCCACUGCGGCGUGCAGAAGACCCCGCAGUGGCGCGCGGGGCCGGAGGGCGCCAAGACGCUGUGCAACGCGUGCGGCGUCCGCUACAAGUCCGGCCGGCUCCUCCCCGAGUACCGCCCGGCGUGCAGCCCGACGUACGUGAGCAGCGUCCACUCCAACUCCCACCGCAAGGUGCUCGAGAUGAGGCGCAAGAAGGAGGACGGCCCUCUCACAGUCACCGCCACCGCGCCCGCCGUGGCGUCGUUCUAGCUCGCUCGCUGGCUAGCUGGCCACUCCGUCCGCGGUGGCUGUACAUUUUCCCGCCCGUAUCAGUCUUUGUACUAGCGUACUCGAACCUUUUUUUCUUCCAUUUCUCUGCUAGUAUCAUCAUCAUCCGAGUAGUUCCGUUUGGAGAUUAAUUAGAGUCCAGCAGGUUUAGGUCAUGUUAGGUUUUAGGAAUUCGGCUCCUCCAACUCCACCUUCAUUAGUCUGUUAGGGCACUAAGUACUGCUACAGCAGCAGCAGUGCAGCACUAGCUCAGAACUUUAUUUCCAGCUUUGUCCGAAGGAGUUUUUCUAUGAGCUAGCAUGUGUUUGCUAGUGUAGUGUAAAUCAAUGGCGGUGCUUAGUUUUUACUAUCAUCAUGGUUGAAGAAACCUAGAACCAACCUUCCCUUUGGGGUGAAGGAAAAGAGGAGAGACGGGUAGAGAGCAACGUGCCGGCGAACCAACCGGGUGCCUGAUGCGUGCACCCUUGGAUACAUCACAUGGUGUUGUCACAUGUAACAGCAUGAUGCAUGCUUAGUUAGGAGCAGAGCAGACGGUUGAGGGCUCAGGACAGCGAGAGGUAGAAGUAGAUGGGUGCUGCAAGCAACCACGCUCCGCUGUCUGUUUCGUGUAAGAGCAGGAAUGGAGCUGAGAAGUUCUUGUUCAUGGAUGGCCCUGUUAAUUUUCUCAAUCACCAAUGAAUCAUGCAGCGGUGUGGCCCUUCGCAGUGUGUAGUCGUAUCUGCCUACCCUGAGCCAUAACUGUUUGAAAAGACGAACCAUUACUACUAUGGCCAGGAGGCGCCCCUGUCUUUUUGGCUCAGUUAUUAUAUCGGCUUCC